UACAGAGGGUGCGAGCGUUGUUCGGAAUUAUUGGGCGUAAAGAGCUCGUAGGCGGUCUGUCGCGUCGAAUGUGAAAACCCGGGGCUCAACCCCGGGCCUGCAUUCGAUACGGGCAGACUAGAGUUCGGUAGGGGAGUCUGGAAUUCCUGGUGUAGCGGUGAAAUGCGCAGAUAUCAGGAGGAACACCGGUGGCGAAGGCGGGACUCUGGGCCGAUACUGACGCUGAGGAGCGAAAGCGUGGGGAGCAAACAGG
rnacentral:rRNA from 1 species